GACAGAGGGUGCAAACGUUGUUCGGAAUUACUGGGCGUAAAGCGCGUGUAGGCGGCUAAGUAAGUCGGGCGUGAAAUCCCACGGCUCAACCGUGGAAGUGCACUCGAAACUGCAUAGCUAGAGUCCUGGAGAGGAAGGUGGAAUGCUUGGGUGUAGAAGGUGAAAUUCGUAGAUAUUCGCAAGAACACCAGUGGCGAAGGCGGCUCACUGGCC
rnacentral:rRNA from 1 species